rnacentral:rRNA from 1 species
GAUAUAAUGUCAUCAAUUCACCCUUAUACUCUCAUCCAGGAGACUCGAGUAGGCCACAGGGGUUUUAGGAUUCUCUUUCGAUAACGAAGAGACCUUAACCUGCUAACUAGAAGCGUUCACUUUGGUGGGCGUCGUCUUCUUAGAGGGACUAUCUAUGUUUAAUAGAUGGAAGUUUGAGGCAAUAACAGGUUUGUGAUGCCCUUAGAUGUUUUGGGCCGCACGCGCGCUACACUGAUAAAGUCAGCGAGUAUUCACCUUGACCGGAAGGUCUGGGCAAUCUUUUGAAACUUUAUCGUGAUGGGGAUUGACCAUUGCAAUUAUUGGUCAUGAACGAGGAAUUCCUAGUAAGCGCGAGUCAUCAGCUCGCGUUGAUUACGUCCCUGCCUCUUAACCCU